CCUUGGGCCUUUAUAAGUAACGAACUCCGCAUUCGUCCCAUUUCUAUUCUCAACAUUUCAAAAAUUAUUCAAAAAAUAAGAGAUCUCUCUUUCUAAUUUCGAAAUUUUGUUACCUUUUCGUCCGGGGAUCGAUAGAUAAACCCCACAGAACAAUCAAUGGCCGAUCUCUUCUGCUACCUAUCUCUAUCUUUGACGCCUCAUGGAUUCCCCAAUUUGGAUACCAAACCCUAACCCUAAAUCUCUGAGGCUUGCUGCAAAGUACCUUAACUAAUGAGGAGAAGACCAAAUAAGGGAAGCGCUCUUUCGCCAUAACCCAGUGUUGUUCACACCAGAGUUGCAGGCUUCUCUGAUGCAGAUUGGGCUGGAUGUCCUUUUGAUGGGAGAUCAACUACCGGAUAUUAUGUCUUUCUCGGAGGAAAUCUAGUGUCAUGGAAAAGUAAGAAACAAAGUGUUGUAUCUCGAUCCAGUGCAGAAUCAGAAUACAGAGCAAUGACAAAUGUGAUACUAGAGAUGGGUUGGAUCAGAGACCUAUUGACAGAAAAUGGUCUCCCUCCAAAAUGUCCCAUGGAUCUAUAUGACGAUAAUAAAGCAACAAUUCACAUUGCUGAGAAUCCCGUGUUUCAUGAAAGAACCAAACACAUUGAAGUCGAUUGUCAUGUAGUCCGCAAUAAGCUUGAUGAUAAAGUCAUCAUGACAAAACAUGUAUCGACAGUAGAUCAGUUGGCAGACAUUAUUACAAAACCACUUGGUCGAACACGGGUUGACUUUAUUUGUGAGAAACUGGGCAUGCAUGAUAUUUAUACUCCAGCUUGAGGGGGAGUGUUAGAAGAAGAGAGUAUUAGUUUAGUCCCACAUUGCUUGUGAGACUAAGUUGUAACUAAUCCAUCUCUAUAAAUAAAGUAUAGAGUGAGGGGAUAACUCUCCAAUAAUCUCUUUUCUCUCCAAA